rnacentral:tRNA from 1 species
GCCGGGGUGGCGGAGUGGACGAACGCGCCGGCCUUGAGAGCCGGUGACCCUUUUGGGUCUCAAGGGUUCAAAUCCCUUCCCCGGCGCCA